GGCUUCGAGAUAACGUAUUGAACGGCUCACUCGGUGCAGAGGUCACCGGGCAGAGAAAACAUAUCUCAACUUGUUCCUGUCUUUUUCUCUCUUUCACUGUCGCGCUCAGACUUUCAGACGUCCUCUGUCUCAGCUCAGGAGUCACCAUAUGAAACCGUCGCUACUCGCUGGAUUUUUCAUCUCCACACUCGCCGUCCUGCUGUGACCUCCUGCAGAGACGCACAUGCCUCAUCGAACAACUUUUGUAGUUUGUCUUGAUCAUCUUGAGAUGAGAAUUCAGAGCUGCAGGGCCGACAUAUACAUGCUAUACACUGAUAAUGAAUUAUGUUGGGCAGCAGUGAUGAGGGGGAAGCAAAGGGCGAGCUGAAGCUAACAAUUAGCCGGAUCUUCCUGUCCAGAAGAUGAUAAUUAUCGGAGGCGGAGAGACAGACUCUGCAGCUGAUCGGCUGCCCUGCAUCAUUACACAGAGUGGGAGCAGAGCCAUGAAAACUGGAGAAAGGAAGAAAAAUAUAGUCUGAAGGGAAAUAAAACAGAAUUGAAGUUGACAGAAGAUAUGUCAGAGGUUGGCAUGUCAUGAAGGUGGAGAUGUUAGCGUCUUCAUGUUAGCUGUCUCUCAGCAGAGUUAUGUCAUUUACUGGAUGUCAGGAGCUGGAAGUUGACGUGUCGAGUGUCGGCUGGAGGUGAAGCCCCGUCUGUCGGCCCUCGACCCCAGAGACGCACCGUCCUCCAAGUCCUCUUACUCAGCAGUUUCAGCCCUGCAUGAGGUUUGGGUUUCCCUCGUGUGAAAAUAGCACAGACAAAUAUGUGUGGGCCCCCAUUACAAAGUACCACUCACACUGCUGCUCCAGUUCAUUACUGUGGAGAGAAACAACGUUGUUGCCCUCCAGGAAUAAACUUAUUACAACGGAAA